CAGUGUUACAGCUCUUUUAGAAUUUGUCUAACAGGUUUUCAGGUUUUUUUCUGGAAACACUA
rnacentral:snRNA from 1 species